AUCCACUUGACGAGUCCCAAAUAGGACGAAACGUAUGUCUUGGAU
rfam:Schistosoma mattheei strain Denwood, Zambia genome assembly, scaffold: SMTD_scaffold0000190